AAUCUCUAAAUUGAAGCCUCAAAUCAGCCCUAAAUCAAGUCUUGAACACGAAUUAGUGAUCCUCAUCGCAAGAGGAUUAAGAGGCAAAGAGUCCGGAUCAUCAAGCGGACAAGCCGGAGGGAAUUCACGGGGAAAAGGCGCGCUUUAAAGCUUUCAGGUACCCAAGUGAAGGAUGAAGAUCAAGCAUGACAAUUCGAACCGAACACUCUAGCAAACGCUUCCGCAUAUAAUCUUUUGU